rnacentral:rRNA from 1 species
CGACCGGCGAACGGGUGCGUAACACGUGAGCGACCUUCCGUCUUCAGGGGGAUAGCCGGCCCAACGGCCGGGUAAUACCGCAUACGCUCUUUGCGCUGCAUGGCGUGGGGAGGAAACUUCUGGGGGAGGACGAGGGGCUCGCGGCCUAUCAGCUAGUUGGGGGGUAACGGCCUCCCAAGGCGACGACGGGUAGCUGGUCUGAGAGGAUGGCCAGCCACAUUGGGACUGAGAGACGGCCCAG